rnacentral:misc_RNA from 1 species
GUAUACUUGUUUAGGAAACUAGCAGCAGAAGCUGGUUCCUGGUAGUUAAAGUCAAGGCUUGUGGUUGCCAGCAUAUGGCUUUAGAAGGGAAUUACAGAUUGUGAAGGGGAAUUUUUUUCCCACUUUAAGAAGUUUUGGAGGUAUGUGAAUGUCAGUUUGUCAUCAUACGCCCUUGUUAGUGAAUGAUUCUUUUUAGUGGAAAUUCUUGU